AGGAUUCGUCUCGUAGUGACCUGCGGAGGGAUCAUUACACAAAUAUGAAGGCGGGCUGGAACCUCUCGGGGUUACAGCCUUGCUGAAUUAUUCACCCUUGUCUUUUGCGUACUUCUUGUUUCCUUGGUGGGUUCGCCCACCACUAGGACAAACAUAAACCUUUUGUAAUUGCAAUCAGCGUCAGUAACAAAUUAAUAAUUACAACUUUCAACAACGGAUCUCUUGGUUCUGGCAUCGAUGAAGAACGCAGCGAAAUGCGAUAAGUAGUGUGAAUUGCAGAAUUCAGUGAAUCAUCGAAUCUUUGAACGCACAUUGCGCCCUUUGGUAUUCCAAAGGGCAUGCCUGUUCGAGCGUCAUUUGUACCCUCAAGCUUUGCUUGGUGUUGGGCGUCUUGUCUCUAGCUUUGCUGGAGACUCGCCUUAAAGUAAUUGGCAGCCGGCCUACUGGUUUCGGAGCGCAGCACAAGUCGCACUCUCUAUCAGCAAAGGUCUAGCAUCCAUUAAGCCUUUUUUUCAACUUUUGACCUCGGAUCAGGUAGGGAUACCCGCUGAACUUAAGCAUAUCAAAAGCCGGGAAGGAAGA
rnacentral:rRNA from 1 species